GAGCCACGCAGGGCCUGUGGUUCGAUUGCCCUAGAUUGUAUUUAGGUCUCGCCACUGAAUAACUUGAAUCACUUUGGAUCCGCUUUUGAGCUGUUCUGUGGCUUUUGGCAUGUCUGUGGACACUUUUACAUGUUUCCUUGGAAUUACUGGGAGUGCUGAAGAGACAGAAUCUGGGAUGAGCUUUCAGGAAUGAGCCCCAAAGUAACACCACAGCGCUACAGCCUGUGCUAGGAGGAGGAAGCAACCAUGGGAACUAGGAGGCUUCCGCUAGUUGCUGGCUCCAGAACCAUCCAUGUCUGUAGAAAUCUGCACCAGCAAAAUGACUGUGCUGUUUCACAUGCCUUGCUAACGUCGGGAUACACCUCUCCAUGACAGUAAUCUUCCCCAGACCCUGAACCAGGAAACCCCUUGGCCAUUUGGAAUCUCAGUUAGCCUGAGUAAAAACAGGUGCUAGUAAUAGCUUCCAAGAAAAUUCGUUACCUAGCUGAAUCCCAAAUAUGUUAAAACUAGUGUCAGUAUCCAGCUUUGGGCCAAAUAUAAGCAAUUUUUAAGCAAGAGGGUAAAGUUUCUCUUAGCCAGAGCAUGAUUCAAUCCAGCUACCAUUUAUUAUGUUUUUCUUAUGCACCACUAUGACUGUCGUAGAAGCUGGGGCUUAGGGGGACUUCACUAAAAGAGACCUUCCAAACACUCAGCGUGGUUAGUGGAAAGUACCUGAUGCUUCGGGCAGGGAUAUCUGAGUAUCAGGAAAAAGGUAUAAUUAUUUUAUACAUGCUGCUCCCGCCUAUUAGUGUCUAUGACCUAGUUGACACCCUGCAAUCUGUCCAGAUUAAUAGUUCCUCCUUCUGGGAAGAAAUGAACCGGGAGAUGGGAAGGGAAGAAAGGUGCGCAAGGUGUUGCAGAGUAGAGGAAGAGGGCUCUCUGUCCUGCUGCAAUCGCAGUGUGGCAAGCCCUGGUUAUGAGGCAUGUAUUGCAUAUGUCACGGCCCUCAUGGAGUUAUCCAAGUCCCUCAAAAGCCAAACUUGUGCAAGAUGAGAGAUGAGUCAUUGUCACAUUGUGUGCCAGGGCCUACAAGUGCGCCAUAGCUUCCCACCUGCUGUUUUAUCUUUACUUACAAUGGUGUUCCCUGACUCCCCACCUGACAGGUGAGUUUCAAGGCUGCUCAGAAUGUUUCCUCUUUCUGAGGCCCUACCCUGACCUCCCCAAGUCAGGGGGCUCCCCUGAACCACCUGCUUUCCCCGUUGGGCUUCUGAGGACUUAGGUCACAUUUCUCUUAGAAUGAUCUUUCUGAUCAUUCCUGUAAUUACUACUAAUUGCUCCUGUAAUUACUAGUCCACAUGCCUGCCUUCCCAACUGGAUUUGGAUGUCCCAGAAGGGGGUGCCUAUUCUAGAGUGAGGAGUCUCUGGUGUCAGGUGACUCACUUUAUAAUUUUCAGUCUUCACUUCAGUCUCUGAGGUAGGCCUUAUAGCUACUAGCUUGUAGUGAUAAGAUUCACCCCCGGCCGGGCGCGGUGGCUCACGCCUGUAAUCCCAGCACUUUGGGAGGCCGAGGCGGGUGGAUCAUGAGGUCAGGAGAUCGAGA
rnacentral:lncRNA from 1 species